UGAUGUGCCAAGAGUAGUAGUAAGGUCAAAAGGUGGAAGUUCUCAACUUAAUGAGGAAAGAAAAGAUAUGCUGAAGUUUCUAAGAUCUAUGCUGUCUAUUCCUGCUUCUUAUUGUGGCUGGGGAUACUGAAAUCUGCCUGAUAGGAGGAGGAAGCACCACUUCUCCCACGUGGAUGCCAUGUUCCAGUGGUUCAGCAAGAGAUCUACUGGGACAGUGAGAAAUAGCUGGAUUGCUUAACCCCAAAUCUAUGAGAAAGAAGACCCACACAUAUCAUUCAAGCCCUGGAACUCAAGGGGCACUCUUAGAAAUGCCAUUAUAUUCAUAAACAUAUGGUGCUCUGGCUCUCCUUGGCUUUAUACUAAGCUACUUGAGCUUUUUGUUUAUCAGAUUUGUGUAUUCUUCAGUGUCUACCCCCUCCCCCUGUGUUUCACACAUAAUAGCUGCCCAAUAACAUUGUGGAAACAAACUUUAAAUAUUAGUGUGGAAUCUUCCACUGAAUAUAUAUAAUUUAUGCUAUUGAAUUUAAGACUUAGACCUUGACCCUUUAUUGGGAAAACUGGUAAAAAUGAUGCAGUAACAACAGCAUCACAAUAAGAUCACAGGUCCUUCUUCCCCAUAUUUCCCUGUCUCUGCGUGCCCUUAACCUUUGAGUAGAAGACAAGUUUCUCAUCUCCUCUGCAUGCCAGAUGGGCCAUUAAACUAGGACCAGUGGGGGGUGUAGCAAAUCACAACUAUAUAAGAUAUCACUGAAGUCAUCAAAAAGCAGUAAUGGAGAUCAAGGGCAGUUGAGGGGAACGAAUUGCAACUAUGUAAUGUUUUUCAUGCGAAUCAUCAAAAAUCAGUGAUGGUCUUUGAGCUGCUAGGCGGAAAGUCUGAGAAUUUCUAUACAGGAGAUAAGACCCAGAUACUGCAAGAUGGAGAAAGAGGAACAGCUCUGAAAAAUAAAGGCAGCCAAGUGUAGCAAGUAGAGCCCGGGCUUUGGUGUCAUUAUUCUGUAGUGCAGAUCCUGAUUCCAGCUCUUCUGCCCUGGGCAACAUUGGCUUUUGGAAUGAUUACAUGAUAUGCAGCAUAGUAAGUAAAUACUUGCUAUAUGACAAGUAUUUUUUUCAGCAUUUCUAUUAUCUCAUUUAAGCCAUACAACAAUAUAUCAUACAGGUAUUCUUAUCACUCCCAUUUUAUAGUUAAAGGAAAUGGUCAAGGUUAAUUUAGGUAACCAUAACAAUAAUGACUCUGUGUGUUAAUAAGAAUGUUUGGCAGAGCCCAGAGGAAAUGAGGGUGGGAGGAAGAUGGGUUUUGAUGCAGAAAGAAUUAUCUGGAACAGGAGCAAACAAAACAAGGACAGGCAAUGUGGGCGCAGUGGGGCACCCAUGGUGUGAGGGUACUUGGUUCUUUGGCAAAGAUCUGUUUAUAAAAUGGCAUGUAGUCGGUGCUAUAGGAAAUGUGUGAAAAACAGGAAGGGGGCAGGAGCAGAGAUAAGACUGGGAAGUCAAAUAAAGCAAUGAAUAUUGGUAAUUUCUCCAACAUUUAAUCCAUGCCAUGUACAGACACUUUUUAAUAAAAUAAUGGAUGAAGAAAUGAAUAAGUAAUGUCCAUAGCCUAAGGCAGCAAGAAUGGUGACAUCUUGCUACUUAUCAAGCCCUGAAAAUGACUGUCUCUUUUGAACCCAGUUAUCAGUACAUUUCAGCUCCACUAAAUAGGUGUUUUACACAUGGGCAACAGCUGAACAGAGUUCUCUUAUCAUUUCCAUUGAAUGCGAUUGGGUUGAGGGAGAUUGAGCAUCACACCAGCACAUAGGUGACUACCUUUAUGCAAUGGAAACUACAAAGCAAUAGCAUUAAAGUUCCUAGGCCAAAAUGACUGAACAGCAUAGGAAUGGAAAGAUUAACAAUUUUUUUCUUAUUUUCCAAAUUGUAAAAGACCAAAAAGACCAGCUCCUUCUAUGACUUCUCAUUACAAUUAAAGCAUGAUGUCGACAGAGGCCUUACUCACUCUGCUUCUAAAGCAAGCACAGUGUUGCUGAGGCAGGAGAACCUUGCCGUCCUGAAUGCUACCCAGCACACGCUGCCUAGGAUGAGGAUCUGGGCACAGAAGCUAAUGGGAAUCGCCCCUGCAGAGCACAGAUACUAAGCCUGGCAUAAUCUGUGCCAUGCCUGUCACUUCUGGAGCCUGUGAAGGAAAUUGGCCAGAGCUGCUACUCUCUCUAUUCUAGAUAUAAUUCCACUUUUAUCCAUAAUAAGGUCCAUCAGGAUUUGGGCAAUUUUAUUCUCACAUGAUUUGCAAUUCUGAUAUUUUCCUUGUGAUUGGCAUAAGAUCAGC